UGCCUGUCUUGUGACAAGGAACCAAUCAGAAGUUAGCUGGUGGUGCUAUGCUUUAUGGCUCUGGGUGUGCUUUACGGACAAGCGCACAGCAAUGACGUAGAGAGCAUAGCAACCACCCUGGGAGGGCCUAUGAGCCAUAACAACCAGUUGACCAAUCAACACAGGGCAAGCCCUCCAAGCCUGGAGGCACACCAAUCGUAAGCCUGUGCGUACCCCUAGACACUCCCCUUACGCUGCCCUAUAAGAUCUUUGGGGAGACCUUAGGAGCCGUCUUUUUCUAGCCGUCUGCCAUGGCGGGUGGGUGAAAGACCCGAGCUAACAUGGGGUUAGUUCGUUAAAUUACAAUAAAGCCUCGUGCAGUUUGCAGCAAGCUCUCGAAUCCGCCUGGUGAUUGGGGUGACCGCGAACCUGGCCUGAGACCCCGGAUACUUGAGUUUUCGGGGGUCUAACAUUUUGGGGGCUCGUCCGCGAUUUGCGACCACCCUUCACCUGAGUGGAUUCGAUCUUGGAGGGGGUCAGGGGUCUUUUCUUGAUUCUCUGAGCACGUGGCGCCACCUCAACUGUGAUCGGCAGAUGCGCCCUGUGGACAGACUGCCACUCUGAGGACACCCAGGACCCAGGAGGUAUGGACUCGGGCCAAGGACACUUGGACCCGCCUCAGUUAGCCGCCGAGUUCUGCCGCCGUCUUCCCGGCGCCAUUGCCUUAUGAGCAGCGUGGGCGGAUUGGGUUGGCGUCUGUUCUUUCCUGUCUAUUCUGUGUUAUCAUCAUUGGUUUUCAAUUCAGGAUCCACCACGCCACCCCCUUUCUAUCCCCACCUGCGGGUCUGAGGCAUGCCCAGUAGGACUGUUUCUGCCCCAGCUGCCGUUAUGGCUGUUUCCCUGCUCUGGGGGAACAUGGCUACAAGGCCGCCAUCUGCUACCCGUCUUUCUGUGCUCCACACACAUGGUAUGCAGGGGGGCCGCAGGAGUCUUUUUCCCACCCCUGGAUUGGCCAAGGGUCUGGGGUUACCAGCAGCACCCCCACCCCAGGUCUCUCUGCCUUGAGCACAUGGAGCUAGCUCAGGCAGGUGAACCAUCUGUCCUGAUCCGGAUAUUCUAAAAACAAUAACAACAAAAAAGGGCCUUAAAGUUAUUAAAAAUUGUAAAAGGGACUUUGACAAAAUUUUUAUGUUGACUAAAAAAUGGGAAAAAAUGUAAAAAAACUUAAAUAAUAAAGAGGAAAAGAAAAAAAGAAA
rnacentral:lncRNA from 1 species